UACGUAGGGGGCAAGCGUUGUCCGGAAUUACUGGGCGUAAAGCGUGCGCAGGCGGCUUCGCAAGUCAGGCGUGAAAUCCCCGGGCUUAACCUGGGAAUGGCGUCUGAAACUACGGAGCUGGAGUGUGGCAGAGGGAGGUAGAAUUCCACGUGUAGCGGUGAAAUGCGUAGAUAUGUGGAGGAAUACCGAUGGCGAAGGCAGCCUCCUGGGCCAACACUGACGCUCAUGCACGAAAGCGUGGGGAGCAAACAGG
rnacentral:rRNA from 1 species